rnacentral:lncRNA from 1 species
CUCAUUCCAAACAUCAAUUGCAUUAUCAAGGAAAACGAUACUUUGCGCAAUUGAUUCAUCAACAGAAUUCAUGAUCCAUGAAUGAAUCAACAUAUUGCAUCUAUUCCAUGCCUUGAAAUUAGGAUCAAAUUCACUAGGAACUUCAAUUGUUCCAUCAACAAAAUCAAGCUUAUUCUUACCUCCAAGAGCACGUUUCAUGGAUCGCGCCCUAGCUUGAUAAUUGGAGUGAUUGAGAACAGGUUUCACCACGACAGAAGUAGGACCAU